AUUGGGGACUUGUCUAUAACCCGAUAAUCCACGCAUAUCCAACCUUCUCUUGACUCUACAGCAUGUGUACUGCCGUUGUAAGCAUACCUUUAAAAGAACGAGUAUGCUAUCAUGACUAAUAUAACUCAUCUACAUCAGGUCAAAGUGCAGCUAAUGAGAAGGUGAUGAUGGGUUACAACCCCAAAACAGACUAUCAACUAAGAAAUGAAAAAUCUUACGAAAGUGGACUUGGCCGUAAUCAAUUUACAAGUUAAAAAAAUGAAUAAAAAUCUAAGACAUGUACACAUCGCCCGUCACUCUAUCCUAAAGGUUAGAUAAGUCGUAACAAAGUAGGUGUAAUGGAAAUUGUACCUGUCGAAGUAUAGCAUAUAUAAUGCUUUUUACUUACACUAAAAAAAAAGUUAAAUAACUUGCUUCGCCUAAAUAAAUAAAUCUUAUAAACUACCAAUAAUAAAAACAACUAUAUAAAUAUUAAUAAAUAUAAAAGUACAGAAAUGGAAAUAAAAAUAAAUAAAAGUAACUAUUAACAACUGUACCUUGUGCAUUAUGGUUUUACAAGAAAAUAAUUAAAAAUACCAAUCCCGAAUUCUAAAUGAGAUGUUAAACUGCUGUUAAGAACCCCCUAAUAUCUGUAGAAAAAGAUUUAAAAGACAGUUUAACAGAGGCUACAUACCAUCCGCAUAAGAAUAUAGCUGGUUUUCAAUGAAUAUUAUACAUUAAAACAUAUAACUAAAUUAUAGUGUAACAUUAUUGAGGAUAAGCCCAAUAAUACAAGCAAUCUGUAAGAAAACUAAAUCCAUCUUGCUCUAUAGGCCUAAAAUCAGCCAAUAAAAAUACUUUACCGUAAUAAACAAAGAUAAAAUAUAUACCCUAAACAUGCCAAACAAAAUUGAAAUAUUGUACAAACUAAGGCCCACAAAUUUACUAUGUAAAAAUAAGUAUUAUAAAACAAUCUCACCAAUAAACUAAAGAUAAAACAAAAUACACAAUAUAAUAAUUAAUUAAGGAACUCGGCAAACUAUUAUUUCGACUGUUUAACAAAAACAUUGUCUCAUGAUCACAAUAUGAGAUAAUACC
rnacentral:rRNA from 1 species